rnacentral:rRNA from 1 species
CAGCAGCCGCGGUAAUACAGAGGGUGCGAGCGUUAAUCGGAUUUACUGGGCGUAAAGCGUGCGUAGGCGGCUAAUUGAGUCGGAUGUGAAAUCCCCGAGCUUAACUUGGGAAUUGCAUUCGAUACUGGUUAGCUAGAGUGUGGGAGAGGAUGGUAGAAUUCCAGGUGUAGCGGUGAAAUGCGUAGAGAUCUGGAGGAAUACCGAUGGCGAAGGCAGCCAUCUGGCCUAACACUGACGCUGAGGUACGAAAGCAUGGGGAGCAAACAGGAUUAGAUACCCCUGUAGUCCCUGUCUCUUAUAA